rnacentral:rRNA from 1 species
UACGGGGGGGGUAAGCGUUGUUCGGAAUUACUGGGCGUAAAGGGCUCGUAGGCGGCCAACUAAGUCGGACGUGAAAUCCCUCAGCUUAACUGGGGAACUGCGUCCGAUACUGGAUGGCUUGAGUUUGGGAGAGGGAUGCGGAAUUCCAGGUGUAGCGGUGAAAUGCGUAGAUAUCUGGAGGAACACCGGUGGCGAAGGCGGCAUCCUGGACCAACACUGACGCUGAGGAGCGACAGCGUGGGGAGCAAACAGG